AUACGUAGGGUGCGAGCGUUGUCCGGAAUUACUGGGCGUAAAGAGCUCGUAGGUGGUUUGUCGCGUCGUCUGUGAAAUUCCGGGGCUUAACUCCGGGCGUGCAGGCGAUACGGGCAUAACUUGAGUACUGUAGGGGAGACUGGAAUUCCUGGUGUAGCGGUGAAAUGCGCAGAUAUCAGGAGGAACACCGGUGGCGAAGGCGGGUCUCGGGGCAGUAACUGACGCUGAGGAGCGAAAGCAUGGGUAGCGAACAGGAUUAGAUACCCUGGUAGUCCAUGCCGUAAACGGUGGGCGCUAGGUGUAGGGGUCUUCCACGACUUCUGUGCCGUAGCUAACGCAUUAAGCGCCCCGCCUGGGGAGUACGGCCGCAAGGCUAAAACUCAAAGGAAUUGACGGG
rnacentral:rRNA from 1 species